UUCUGCCUACUUUGACUGAUUUGUUCCCAUUUCAAACGACACAGGCUGUGGGCGAUCUUGGGUUAGUAAGACAAAUAUUUGCUUUCAGUCUGUCUAUUUAUAGUAUAGCUACCUCGCGGAGUGAACAACCAUCACUGUAGACAUAGAUCGCAGUUAUUUAACGUUAUUACAGACAGAUCUGGCAUUUCUCCAUCUGGAAAUUACCACUUACAACUGCAAGUAUUUUCAUUUAUGUCCAAGAGCUAGCUAGCUACAAAGCUACUGUAACUGGCUAGCUAGCUAACUUUAGCAGGCUCUAGUCUAGAUCAAUUCGCCAGCUGCAAAGCAGCACUCGCUAACAAGACCGCAAGCCAAAUGCUGCUACAAUUGCUGUGGGUGCCGGAUAGACAACGGUGGUAAAUCUCAUUCAAAUUGAAUUUAAUUCAUAAAACGCUGCCACUUCAUUUACUGUGUGGAUAUCUUAAGUUAUGCAUACUUAAUGUCAAUAUUCCAUUACCCUAGGUCUUCCAUUCCCAAACUUGAAGCUGUCUGACCCUAGCAGGAAGGACCAGAGAAAGGUGACUAAAAUUGGACCAUUAACUGGCUUAGUCUACACUUUGGAGGAACAACAGAUUUGCAAUGCAUUUAUCAGCAACGGUUGUGCCAAUAAAUGCAUAUCACAACAGUCGAGAGGCUGUCCGACUCUCCGACUCUCCUCCCCUUUAGCAGCACCUCUUGCCACAACAAAAGAAGAGUGCUCUGAAGAGUUCCUGCUGGAUACAGAUCUGCUAUGCGCACCUCUGCCAGCCACACCACAACUGCCCUUGACAGCUUCUCCACUGGGCCCAUCAAGAGAUGAGGUUGCGUCUUCAUUUUGGACCAUGGACGACGGCCCGAGCUGCCAGUGAUGUCAAACUGGCCAAGCACCACCUGGAGAAAGAGGUCCUGAAGCGGGUGGAUCUGCUUUGCUAUUAACAGAGAAGCUCCUAGAUACACAGAUGUGGCAUUAUGUUACUUCAGAGAAUGAAACGGUCAGUGUCCCAGUCACGUUCCCUGCUACCUGCACUUACACAGCAGAAGGCUUUACGUCCCUGUGUAAGAUGUGAUUCUUCAGACAGAACUGUCUUCUGACUGAAUUCCCUGUGUGUGAGCCAAAAGCAUGCUCCAAAGGGGAAAUAAAGCUCUAUUCUACAACACUCCCCCAAGGCUUCCCCAACAGACAAGCAUGGAGCAGCUGCAGCAGAUAUGGGCACGACUUCACGUUGGUGAAAAACUACAUGUAUGAUUAUGCAAAUAUAGGAUGUCAUUUGAGGAUUUUGCUGCCGCUGUCUUCUUCCAAUGGGAGCUGGAUGCCUCGGGAGCAGUGAGGAAGGAGCGAAUAGAGGAAAGAGAAAAUCCUCAGAGCAGCGUCCUUCCGGCCGUCUGUACAGGUUCUGCCACCAGUCGCUGAAACAAGGCCCCAACAGCCCUCAUACACAUACCGGCUUUCCUUGAGUGGCAGGAAAAUAUCUACUGCCUAGCCAAAGUGUUUCCCCUGUACCUGGCACAGGGCUUUGGAGGGUGUUCCAACAGUCUGCCUUUUUAUUAAAUUGAAAAGCAGGGAUGGAUGGUGAAGGGGAGUGACUCCACAGACACACACAGAGAUAAAUAGGAGCUGAAAAUCUAUUUCCAUUGAUAGAGGUGGUUUGGACUAUUGUUUGAUAUUGUAUUUAUUUCACAGGUACUGUCCAUUCUUUUACAUUACUGUGCAUACACUGUAUUCGGAAAGUAUUCAGAUUCCUUUUUUUCUUAUUUUGUUAAGUUUAUUUUUCUAAAAUGUAUUAAAUAAAACA